rnacentral:rRNA from 1 species
CCUACGGGAGGCACCAGUGGGGAGUAUUGCACAAUGGGCGCGAGCCUGAUGCAGCCAUGCCGCGUGCAUGAAGAAGGCCUUAGGGUUGUAAAGUACUUUCAGUUGGGAGGAAGGCCUUGAUGCUAAUAUCAUCAACGAUUGACGUUACCAACAGAAGAAGCACCGGCUAACUCCGUGCCAGCAGCCGCGGUAAUACGGAGGGUGCAAGCGUUAAUCGGAAUUACUGGGCGUAAAGCGCACGCAGGCGGUUGAUUAAGUUAGAUGUGAAAUCCCCGGGCUUAACCUGGGAAUGGCAUCUAAGACUGGUCAGCUAGAGUCUUGUAGAGGGGGGUAGAAUUCCAUGUGUAGCGGUGAAAUGCGUAGAGAUGUGGAGGAAUACCGGUGGCGAAGGCGGCCCCCUGGACAAAGACUGACGCUCAGGUGCGAAAGCGUGGGGAGCAAACAGGAUUAGAUACCCCUGUAGUC